CCUACGGGAGGCAGCAGUGGGGGAUAUUGCACAAUGGGGGGAACCCUGAUGCAGCGACGCCGCGUGGGUGAAGGAGUGCUUCGGCAUGUAAAGCCCUAUCGGCAGGGAAGAAGCAAGACGGUACCUGACUAAGAAGCCCCGGCUAACUACGUGCCAGCAGCCGCGGUAAUACGUAGGGGGCGAGCGUUAUCCGGAUUCACUGGGUGUAAAGGGAGCGUAGACGGCCAUGCAAGCCAGGGGUGAAAGCCCGGGGCCCAACCCCGGGACUGCCCUUGGAACUGUGCGGCUAGAGUGCGGGAGGGGCAGGCGGAAUUCCUGGUGUAGCGGUGAAAUGCGUAGAUAUCAGGAGGAACACCGGCGGCGAAGGCGGCCUGCUGGACUGCGACUGACGUUGAGGCUCGAAAGCGUGGGGAGCGAACAGGAGUAGAUACCCGGGUAGUC
rnacentral:rRNA from 1 species